rnacentral:lncRNA from 1 species
AUGCUCUAUUAUCUUAGAAAACAAAGGCGAACCAGAAAGAGCCAAACACAGACUGAUUUCCAUUCCAGGCUUUGCCUUUCAAUUUCACGGGCUUUUGUGGGAACUGGAGCCUGCUCUGUCCUUGGCAGAGCACUGAGAGGAGGAGGGAAGCAGCAGGAGCCGCAGAGGACUUGGGUGGACAGCAGAGAAGGCCAAAAGGCUCAGAAGUCAGCCGGUUUGGUCGUUUUCAAGCUGUGUUCCUUAGAACCCUGAGGUCCACGGAGGUUCUUGGGAAAAGAGUUGGCCUGGGCCUCAAACUACCAUGCACAGCACUGCUGCUUUUACCUAGGAAUGUGGGACACACAGACCAUUUUUAAAAAGAAAAAAACUACAACUAUAACUCACUCAAUUUCAUUUUAGAGAAAGAAAAGCGAGACCAGAGAGAAAGUGAUUUUUGUAAGUUACAAACAGCUCUGUUCUGUUUUUUUUUUUUUUUUUUUUUUUUGUGGUACCGGGAAUUGAACUCAUGACCUCAGGCUUGCCAGGUAAGUGCUUAUGCCACUGAGCUAUAUCCCUGGCAGCUCUGUUCUCUUUCCACGAGGAGACCAGGAGUCUAUUUGGGACAGUUCCCAGUCUGCCACACGUUUGGAGCCAGUAGGCCCUGUCAAUCCUCACCUCCUGGCUGUUCUGCCUGGGCUGUCACAGUUGGGGCCCAGGCUGGCACUCAGUGGGGACUGAGAUAAGGGAGAUUGCUUUCCACUAGGUUCGUGGCCUACAGGACAGAUCAGUGACCAUGGUCUAGUAAUGUCUGGGAAGCUGUCUUUGGCACGAAGGCAGCUACCUGACUUCUGGUAAGUCACCCAGGCCCUAGGACCUCAGGACCCCUAGGCCCUAACACUAGCCACACAGAGGGUGCAGCUCAGAAUGGCACUUUGGCGGGGAGGUCCCUGAGACAUGUGAUCCGCCCAGCCCUGAGCUUCCCCUCUCAGGCCUCUGCUAACCGAUACUCCUGGUUGUCAUGACUUUUUGGGAAAAUCUUUAGAAAGAUUGGGGGGGUGGAUGUGUCAACAUUUAAAUUAUUCUCAGUAUCCAACAAAGUCUAUUAGUCUACUACCAAAAAUACAGGAUAACAUAACUUCAAAGACAGCUCUUCCCAAGAUGGGGCCUGGCGGCAUCAUUUGCUAACGACCUGGCCGCCUCCUGCCUGUCCCAUUUCCUCCAAGGCGAGGCUGACUGACCGGCUAGGUGUCACUCCAAGAGACCAAAGGAAGUCUGGGGAGGCCCUCCGCCCAUUCUGCCUCCGCCAGCAUCCACAGUGU